rnacentral:rRNA from 1 species
GAUGAACGCUGGCGGCGUGCUUAACACAUGCAAGUCGAACGGAAAGGCCCAAGCUUGCUUGGGUACUCGAGUGGCGAACGGGUGAGUAACACGUGGGUGAUCUGCCCUGCACUUCGGGAUAAGCCUGGGAAACUGGGUCUAAUACCGGAUAGGACGAUGGUUUGGAUGCCAUUGUGGAAAGUUUUUUCGGUGUGGGAUGAGCUCGCGGCCUAUCAGCUUGUUGGUGGGGUAAUGGCCUACCAGGGCGUCGACGGGUAGCCGGCCUGAGAGGGUGUACGGCCACAUUGGGACUGAGAUACGGCCCAGACUCCUACGGGAGGCAGCAGUGGGGAAUAUUGCACAAUGGGCGCAAGCCUGAUGCAGCGACGCCGCGUGGGGGAUGACGGCCUUCGGGUUGUAAACUCCUUUCGCUAGGGACGAAGCGUUUUUGUGACGGUACCUGGAGAAGAAGCACCGGCUAACUACGUG